rnacentral:rRNA from 1 species
AUUGAACGCUGGCGGCAGGCCUAACACAUGCAAGUCGAGCGGAGCGUCGGACGGGUGAGUAAUGCCUAGGAAUCUGCCUGGUCGUGGUUGAUAACGUCCGGAAACGGGCGCUAAUACCUCAUCCUAUCAGCUGAGCCUCGGUCGGAUUAGCUAGUUGGUGGGGUAAAGUCCUACCAAGGCGACGAUCCUUAACUGGUGUGAGAGGAUGAUCAGUCAAACUGGAACGGAGACACGGUCCAGACUCCUACGGGAGGCAGAAGUGGGGAAUAUUGGACAAUGGGCGAAAUCCUGAUCCAGCCAUGCCGCGUGUGUGAAGAAGGUAUUCGGAUUGUAAAGCACUUUAAGUUGGGAGGCGUUACCAACAGAAUAAGCAACGGCUAACUUCGUGCCAGCAGCCGCGGUAAUAC